AACAAAUAAUUUUCGAUUGUAAGUGAAAUCAUUGGAAAAGAAAAAAGAAGAAAAAAAGAAAAGGACCCACCACCAAGGUCAUUGGACCAUGAAGAUGAAGAGAUCGUCGGGAUGCUGCACGCUGUCAUGCUAGGGAGUGGACCAGGACGCGGUAGACGCGAAUGGUAUCCUGGAUUUUAUCUUCAAAGUCGUAGAUUAGGUAGAAGAAUGAAUCGUGGUGAACAGGAAACGUUGUUUCGGCAAAGCCGACAAUUGACAAGAAUUGUACCAUCCCAUGAGGAUCUUGUUCUCAGUGUACUUAAAGCUCCCAUAAGUCAACAACAACAACAGCAACAACAACAACAACAGCAACAACAACAACAACAUAGACAUUUUAGACAUCAUCAACAACAACAAAGUCAUUUUCAGGAACAUCAUUUCAACUGUCAAACGCGUUUGGCUCAUGGCAGGUGUAAUCAUUCAGGUGACUUGUACAACAACGAGAGUCUUCCACGUGGCAAGGACCAAUGCACGACCAGGCUAGUUGACAAAAGAUGCACCAGCGGUGGGAGUUCAGGUGCAGUUUAUGCUGCACUUCAAGGUAGCGAAGAUGAACUUGCCGAUGUUGAUGAACAUUGUAUCGUCGAAUCGGAAGAUGUUGCAUUAAAAACUGGUGAAAGUGAAACUGAAGAUACUGAGGAUAAUAACGGUGGUGUUACAACACCUAUGGAUGAAGAAGAAUCACAUCACCAUUCACCUAAUCGUAGGUUUACAUUUUUACGUCGUUUUCGUUCGCCACGUUUUGGUGAAGCUCAUCACAAACGUGUACCAACACCCAUGAAAAGGAAACAUAGAAGAAAGAAAAGUAAAGACGAUAUCAUUGAAAAUGAAGUUAAUGGUGCAGAUGAAGAAGAACCACCUAGUCCUGAUCAAACUGGUGUACCUGAUCCUUAUUAUCCUAUUUAUUUACCGAUAGAUCAGGCGUUCAAAGCUAAAUAUGUGUUUCAUCAUAAAAAAGGAAAAACAUUUCAAGAAAGGCUUUAUGUUUUUCUCGAACAUCCUGGUGGUUGGCUAUGCUUCAUCUAUCAUUUCACUGUGUUCAUGGUGGUGUUGGUGUGCCUCAUAUUUAGUGUAUUGUCAACGAUAGAUCAAUACAGUAACUUCGCAAACGAGACACUAUUUUGGAUGGAAAUAUGUUUGGUGGUGUUCUUUGGUGUGGAAUACUUGGUACGUCUUUGGAGUGCUGGUUGCAGAUCAAAAUACAUGGGAUGCUGCGGACGUUUGCGAUUCAUACGAAAACCGAUUUGUAUCAUAGAUUUAAUCGUUGUGGUGGCAUCCAUGGUGGUACUAUCGGUUGGAAGCAAUGGUCAAGUGUUUGCAACUUCCGCGAUAAGGGGUAUAAGAUUUUUGCAAAUACUUCGUAUGCUUCAUGUCGAUCGUCAAGGUGGAACAUGGCGAUUACUAGGUUCUGUCGUAUUUAUUCAUCGUCAAGAGCUGAUCACGACACUUUACAUCGGGUUCCUAGGUCUUAUUUUCAGCAGUUACUUUGUGUACCUUGCCGAAAAGGAUGCUGUUGGGCCCGAUGGAAAAACAGACUUUUCCAGUUACGCCGAUGCACUUUGGUGGGGUGUGAUCACAGUGACAACAAUCGGUUAUGGUGACACCGUACCACAAACGUGGAUGGGAAAAAUCGUUGCAUCGUGUUUCAGCGUAUUCGCCAUAUCCUUCUUCGCACUUCCAGCCGGUAUACUUGGUUCCGGUUUCGCGUUAAAAGUACAACAAAAACAACGUCAAAAACAUUUCAAUCGACAAAUACCAGCUGCCGCAAUGUUAAUACAAUGUUUAUGGAGGUGUUAUGCAGCUGAUAAAGCAAUAAACAGUGUAGCUACUUGGAACAUUUAUAUAAAAGAUCCAGCACCAACAGGACAACCAUCUACACCAUUGGGAAAGUUGAUUUGUGUAAAGAAGAUGUCUCUGAUGAUCCAGGUGGCAAAGAAGGCGAGCGUAUUGAAGAGACGGAAAUCACGUAACCGGAUGGAUGUUCAACAACAACAACAACAACAAUUGCAACAACAACAGCAGCACCAAUCUUUACCACCAGUUACGAUAUCCGGUAGUAUAUCGGCAAGUGGGGGUGGUGCUGCUGCAUCACAAAAUGACAAUCAACGUCUUGAAAAUGAGGGAGAUGUUGUAUUUUACAUGGAGGAACCUAAAGCUGGUACACCCAAUCGUGCCAGACGUGACAAUCGGGGGAGCCUUUUUACUUCCCAGACAAGUUCGGUGACUGAGGCCACCAGUGAUGAAAUUGACAUUGACAUCGAGGAACCACAAAGGGUCACAACGUUAACCGAGGCGCACAGAAAUGCCAUAAGGGCGAUCAGAAAGAUCAAAUAUUUCGUGGCAAGACGAAAAUUUCAACAAGCACGAAAGCCUUACGAUGUGCGAGACGUCAUCGAGCAAUACAGUCAAGGUCAUCUCAACAUGAUGGUGCGAAUCAAGGAGUUACAAAGGAGAUUGGAUCAGACCUUGGGUAAGCCAGGCAGCUACCUGGCAGGAAUCGACCGGGCUGGCAACGUGAAACCCAUGACGAUCGGCGCGCGCCUUUAUCGGGUCGAACAGCAGUUGUCAGUGAUGGAUAAAAAAUUGGACCAACUGGUAUACGUGCUGAAUGCCGUAGCACAGAAACAACAAAUCCCACUGAGAAGUAUAGAGGAUGAUGUGUAACAGAAAGCCCCCCUGGGCGAAUUCGUACCACCCUUUUUACGAUUAUCGAUGACGAACCCAUGGAUAUUGCCAAGAGUUACCAUAACCACCGUUGUACCUAACAUGCUUAGUGAGAGCAGCUGACUUCGUUAUUAUUAUUAUUAUUAUUAUUAUUAUUAUUAUUAUUAUUAUUAUUAUUAUUAUUAUUAUUAUAUCGAUAAACAUAAUAAUAAUAAUAUUAAAUAUAACAUCAGCUAUAAAAUAUUGGGGGGGUUGGAGGAAGAGGACCAUUUUUUUAGUUCUCAACAUUUAUUUGUUCAUACAUUUAUUUAUUUAUUUAUUUAUUUUUUAUUUUAUUUUACGUUCUACUUUCUUUUGAGAACACACAAGUCAAAUAUAAAAAUAAAAAAAAGUGGAGUAAGAAGAAAGAAGAAAAUUCCCCCCACAACAAACUCGUCGAUGGUUCAAUCUCUCUCAAAACGAACGAAGAAUCAACGUUUUGUCCAAUUUACGAGAUGAACAUUUUAUGAACAAAUAAUAAAAAUACAACAACAAGAAAAUAUAUAAAAGGAAAAGAAAGUAAUAAUGAAGAGGAAAAAUGAGAAAAGAUAUUUGAGCUUUACGAUACACGCACAGGAGACAGUUAAAUAUCUCGUGAUAAUUACGGCACACAAAAUAAAACAUAAAAAAAUAUUUAAAAAAAACAACAAGAAAAGAAAGGAACACAAAAUCGACACACUAUAAGACUUUAAACAUUUGCAUUAUGUUUAAUUACGUGUGUAAUAAUUACACAUGCGUAUUAUUAUUAAAAAAAAAAAAA